rnacentral:misc_RNA from 1 species
GAUGAAGAACGUAGCGAAAUGCGAUAAGUAAUGUGAAUUGCAGAAUUCAGUGAAUCAUCGAAUCUUUGAACGCACAUUGCGCCCAUUAGUAUUCUAGUGGGCAUGCCUGUUCGAGCGUCAUUUCAACCAUCAAGCCCCCGGCUUGUGUUGGGGACCUGCGGCUGCCGCAGGCCCUGAAAACCAGUGGCGGGCUCGCUAGUCACUCCGAGCGUAGUAAUACAUCUCGCUCAGGGCGUGCUGCGGGUUCCGGCCGUUAAAAAGCCUUAUUUACCCAAGGUUGACCUCGGAUCAGGUAGGAAGACCCGCUGAACUUAAGCAUAUCAAUAAGCGGAGGA